AUUGCCGGAGGGAAGAAACUGUUCUUACGCCUGGCCAUUCUGGUACUCAGUGCUCUGUAGCGCUGACCAGACGGCAAUAGUUCAAAGAAGAAAUGGGCUGGGUGUGAGGGUCCAGAAUGAUUUUUUCUGUUGUCUGCGAACUUCAGAAGGGUCUUUAGAGGUGUAGUUGUUGGUGUACAGGGAGAAGAGCAGUGGGCAGAGAACAAAUCCCUGGGGGGCGCCAGUGAUGAUGGUACAGGUGCUGGAUGAGAAUUUUCCCAGCCUUACUAGCUGUUGCCUGGCUGUCAGGAAGCUGGUGAUGCACUGACAGAUGGAGGUGUGCACAGAGAGCUGAGUUAAUUUGGACAGGUGGAGGUUUGGAUGAUAGUGUUGAAGGCCGAGUUGAAGUCCAGAAGUUGUAGGAUAUAAUGGAGUUGCUUAUCCUCUUUGCUUGAUAUGCAAACUGCAGGGGGUCCAGUAAGGGUCCAAUGAUGUCCUUCAGAUAGGCCAACACCAGUCUUUCAAACGACUUCAUGACCACAGAUGUUAGGGCCACAGGUCAAUAAGUCCUUUGAUUUUGGGUUUCUUUGGAAUGGGGAUGAUGGUGGAGUGUUUGAAGCAGGAAUGGACUUUGCACAGCUCCAGAGAUCUGUUGAAGAUCUGUGUGAAGAUGGGGGCCAGCUGGUCAGCACAGGUUUUUAGAAAUAAAAACUCAAUGAAAUGAAACUCAUUCAAAUUGUCAGCCAGAUGUUGUUUCAACACAGUGCUGCUGGGGGAUGGUGUCUUGUAGUUGGUGGUGUCUUUCAGUCCUUUCCACACUGAUGCAGGGUCAUUGGCAGUAAACUGGUUUCUCAGCUUUUCGAAGUAGUUCCUCUUACUCAAUUUGAUCCCCUUUGUCAGUGUGUUUUUGGCCUGUUUAUACAGGACUCUGUCCGUAUUCCUGUAAGCAUUUUCUUCGGCCUGACGUAGUUGUCUGAGUUUUGCAGUGAACCACGGUUUGUUGUUGUUGUUAUUAAAUGAGUCCUGGUAGGGAUGCACAUAUUCUCACGGAAACUGAAGUAUAAUGUUACAGAAUCCGUGAGCUAGUCCAGAUAGGUGGCAGCAACUUCAAAAACUCUCCAAUCAGUGCAGUUGAAACAGGCUUGUAAAUCCCGCUUUGCUUCAUUAGUCCUUUGCACAGGAAUGCACAGGAUUGUAAGAUAUCAAAGUCAGCGAAGGAUACAUCUAUGCUGUCUUCAAAAAUUGAUCAGAUGAAGGUAUCAUAGGAGACAGGAAGUGAAGCUGACAUUGGACUUGGAGGUGCCUUGAUGCCUUCCUCCCUUGAAAUGCAUCCUCCGAAGGCAGCAUUUUUCAGCUUUCGGAUGCAGCUAUUCACUCAAGUAGCGGUUUACACAGAAAUGAGGGCGGAAUUGCUUGUAUGGGCAUUUCUCCCGGAAG
ensembl:lncRNA